CAGCCCCUCGAGUUGUGGGGAUGAUUAUUUGGCCUAAAGCGUCCGUAGCCGGCCGGGUAAAUUUCCCGUUAAAUCCAGCGUCUCAAGCGUUGGACUGCGGGAAAUACUGCCUGGCUAGAGAGUGGGAGAGGUCAGCGGUAUUCUGGGGGUAGGGGCGAAAUCCUUUGAUCCCCGGAGGACCACCAGUGGCGAAGGCUGCUGACUAGAACACGUCUGACGGUCAGGGACGAAAGCUGGGGUAGCGAACCGGAUUAGAUACCCGAGUAGUCC
rnacentral:rRNA from 1 species